CUGAGCCUCAUUGUGCCUCUCUGUAGGAGGGGAGUCUUUGCUCUCUGGCAAUGCGCUGUGAGCUGUGAGUACUCUUCGGUUGUGCUAUACUGCUGGGGUGAGGGAGGAAACCGCUGGCAGAAUGCUUGUCCAAAGUGAAUUGCAACAUUCAGACAAAUUGCUGGGCAACUUGGAAAACCCCUUUGGACAUGGCAGCCCAACUCUGUCCCUUCUGCCUGAAAUACUCAGCGUGGGGAGGCAGGAACUCGCAACUCAGGAGAGAAGUGAACUUGGUGUGAACCUCGGUGCUCAGAGCAGAACUGGUAGUUCUGGAUCCGGAAGGCAACUAGGUGAUCUCUUCCAGUGUUCAGCAUUUGAGGCAUCCUGUCUCCUUUGGCUAUGAGGUCAAGAUGGUCACAUCUGCUUCUCCAGGUGGAGCUCCAACUCCAUUAGCUUCUCCCCAGUUGGUCUGGUUGGUGGUUCAGCUCCAGGAAACGUGUCAUCUGGAUCAGGGCGAUUCUCGGUGUCCCCUCUGCUCCCUGAGCUGCAGAGACACAGGGAAGACUGUGAAGAUUCUGGGGCAGACAGUGCUGGACCUGAUUCCCUGAGAACACCUCUGCCCCAUGCAAGUUUCUGAGAACGCCACCCGGAAGGGUGCGCUUUAGAGCCACAGUGGUUGGGCCAAGCCUUUGGGGCCCAGCUCUGAGAGCCACAGACUCUUCUUCUUGCUCGUCUUGUCUCCACCAG
ensembl:lncRNA